rnacentral:rRNA from 1 species
GACGAACGCUGGCGGCGUGCUUAACACAUGCAAGUCGAACGGAAAGGCCCUGCUUUUGUGGGGUGCUCGAGUGGCGAACGGGUGAGUAACACGUGAGUAACCUGCCCUUGACUUUGGGAUAACUUCAGGAAACUGGGGCUAAUACCGGGUAGGAGCUCCUGCUGCAUGGUGGGGGUUGGAAAGUUUCGGCGGUUGGGGAUGGACUCGCGGCUUAUCAGCUUGUUGGUGGGGUAGUGGCUUACCAAGGCUUUGACGGGUAGCCGGCCUGAGAGGGUGACCGGCCACAUUGGGACUGAGAUACGGCCCAGACUCCUACGGGAGGCAGCAGUGGGGAAUACUGCACAAUGGGCGGAAGCCUGAUGCAGCAACGCCGCGUGCGGGAUGACGGCCUUCGGGUUGUAAACCGCUUUCGCCUGUGACGAAGCGUGAGUGACGGUAAUGGGUAAAGAAGCACCGGCUAACUACGUG